CGCUGUAGUACGUGGGUGCAUCACUAUUUUCCGUAAUCGGUUGGGGAUAGUGGCCGCGGCGGAAGAUGGUAGAGUAAGGUCAUGUCCUCGAGGGGCAGGGGUGGGGGCAGGGGCGAGCAGGGGGGCUGUGAGCGGUUCUGUGGAUAGGGCCGGAGGCAAGGCUGGGAAGAGGGUAGCGGAUGCUCAUAGAUUAAGGAUCGGGUCGUGGAACGUAGGCACUCUGAC
rnacentral:lncRNA from 1 species